AGCACAGGGACACAUUUGGAGUCUCGGAGCCGGGUGUUGGUUCCGGUAGCGAUCGAGGGAAGUUAGUACCGAAGUCCGGGAUGGAAGAUGGCGAGAAAAGCUGUGUGUAUUUCUGCGGUGCCCGUACCGCAAACCGACACAGGUAGGUAGGAAGAAGAUUCUAAGGCCAACGGGAGAAGGGUUGUUAAGGAACUCGGCAAAUUGACCCCGUAACUUCGGGAGAAGGGGUGCUCCAGAGAUGGAGCCGCAGAGAAUCGGCCCAAGCAACUGUUUACCAAAAACACAGGUUUGUGCUAAAUCGAAAGAUGACGCAUACGAGCUGACGCCUGCCCGGUGCUGGAAGGUUAAGAGGAGAUGUGCAAGCAUUGAAUCGAAGCCCCAGUGAACGGCGGCCGUAACAAUAACGGUCCUAAGGUAGCGAAAUUCCUUGUCAGGUAAGUUCUGACCCGCAUGAAAGGCGUAAUGAUUUGGGCACUGUCUCGACAGCCCGCCCGGCGAAAUUGUAGUACCGGUGAAGAUGCCGGUUACCCGCGACAAGACGGAAAGACCCCAUGGAGCUUUACUGUAGCCUAAUAUUGGGUUUCGAUGUUGCAUGCACAGGAUAGAUGGGACACAGGGAAACAAGUGCUUUGGCAUUUGUGGAGUGGCCGUUGGGAUACCAUCCUUGCGAUAUUGGAAUUCUAACCUGCGCCUUUGAAUCAAGGCGGGGGACAUUGUUAGGCGGGCAGUUUGACUGGGGCGGUCGCCUCCUAAAGAGUAACGGAGGCGUUCAAAGGUUCGCUCAGCUUGAACGGAAAUCAAGCAAAAGAGUGCAAACGCAGAAGCGAGCCUAACUGCGAGACUGACGGGUCGAGCAGUAACGAAAGUUGGAGUUAGUGAUCCGGUGGUAUGUGAGUGGAAAUGCCAUCGCUCAACGGAUAAAAGUUACCCUGGGGAUAACAGGCUGAUCCCCCCCAAGAGUCCACAUCGACGGGGAGGUUUGGCACCUCGAUGUCGGCUCAUCGCAUCCUGGGGCUGUAUUCGGUCCCAAGGGUUUGGCUGUUCGCCAAUUAAAGCGGUACGCGAGCUGGGUUCAGAACGUCGUGAGACAGUUCGGUCCCUAUCUGUCGUGGGCGCAGGAUAUUUGAUGGGAGCUGUUCCUAGUACGAGAGGACCGGAGCGGACGUACCUCUGGCGCACCAGUUGUUCUGCCAAUGGCAUAGCUGGGCAACUAUGUACGGAUCGGAUAAACGCUGAAAGCAUCUAAGCGUGAAGCCGACCCAAAGAUAAGAUAUCCCAUUGUUUCAAACAAGUAAGACCCCUUGAAGACUACAAGGUUGAUAGGCAUGAUGUGUAAGUGGAGUGAUCCAUUCAGCAAGCAUGUACUAAUAGGUCGAGGGCUUGACCAA
rnacentral:rRNA from 1 species